rnacentral:tRNA from 1 species
GGGAAUGUAACUCAGUUGGUAGAGUGCUUGCCUUGCAUGCACAAGGUCCUGGGUUCAACCCCCAGCACCA